GAGCCAAGAAUUUCCAGAAACGCAUUCUCUGGUUUUUGCAACAGAGGUCGACUCAUGAGUCGACCCCUGAAGCAUGAGUCGACUCAUGAGUCGACCCCUGCGACGGGAAAUGUCAGCAACGGCUAUUUUUUUGCCUGUUUUAAUUGCCAUUUAUACUUUCUAAAAAUCCUCUAAUGGCUCUUUAUUUACCUAAAAUAUUUUCUCUUGCUUCUAAUGCUACAAAAUGCUUAAAAUGAUAAAAGAAAUUGCAGAUUAAAUAGCGGAUAAAACGUGAAAUCAAAAAUGAGAAGAACAGAAGAAAGGAUCCAAAAUUUGCAAGAAAAAGCCUGAUAUCAACGAAAAAUCCAAAAAGAAAAAGAGAGAGGAUCCACAAUAUACCAGAGAGAGUGUGAAAGAGAAAAGCAAGAUCUUUCAAGGAGAGAAUUCUUCACGCCUAUUGUUUCAACCUUGAUCUAGAGAUCGUUCAAAGCUUUCAAUAGAUCUUCAAUCAAC
rnacentral:lncRNA from 1 species